CUCUGCACCCAUGGAACUUACAUUCUUUUACAGGAGACAUGGUAAGCAAGAGAUUCUGAUUCAGGAAGUUCCAUUUGUGGCCCAGGAAUCUAAUCUUUAUUUACCACUUUCCAACCAACACCAUUCCUGACACGGCAAGAAUUCAGGAACGAAUGAAAGGAUGGAAACUCAAACAGAAUGACUAAAUUGUAAUACAAAGAUAAUGAACUCCAAUGUAACAGGACAGCAAAUUAGAAGGCUGGGAAGUUGUUAGCCAUAAAAAAGAAAAAGAAAAAGAGCUUUAUUUCCACACUUUUGAAGCAUUCUUUGGAAACCAGAAAAAUCUAGCAAUACAGUUAACCCAGUUACUGUCAGUUCAAUUCUACUUUCAAAAGAAAGCCAGGCUAACAUUUUAAACAGCAAUUAUGUUUUAUGAAAAGGGAAGAAGAAGGAGUGAGAAGAACAUCAAAACCCUCAAAAGCAUGCCAAUGAGAAACCAAUCAGAAAGCAGGUUAGGAUCUCCAUUCACCCCAGCUUUUUGAAAUAAGCAUUUCCUGUCCUUAGCACCCUCCACUUUAUCAGCCUCACAGAGACCUGGGGGAUAUCAGAAGUGGCUACCAAAGGGAUUCAUAUGCUAAACUGAAACACCUGCUUUCCAAACCAAAGGAAAAAUGAGUAAAACAUGGACCACCCACCCAGUCAGAAACAAUGUACUUUGAGUUGGGUCGCUUUUAUGCCUUUUUCUUCUUAAGGGAUUCACCAGGAGUCUUAGAGAAGAUGGGUCGCUUUGAGCAUAUCCCAGGAAAGCUACCCUACAAUAAGUUGUAAUCAUCUGAAACACUAAAUCAAGACCAAGAUUCUUCUGCCUGGUGGACAUGGUGAUGCACCAGUGAUUGAUUACAAGUGGAGAUUACAAAACAAUAACUAAUUGACCACACUCUGGAAUGGCCUUUCAAAGUUGCAAAAUCCCAAUCAGAGUAUCCCAUUUGAAUAUUCCAAGUGAGUUUUUUGAGUUUCCAAAGAACUUUCUUUAAGGGGAAAAAAAAAUUCUCAAAAUCCAUAAAAUUAUCUUAAUACAUAAUCCAGUUAAGAUUUUUAAAUCUGAUCAAAUACCAUUAAUAAAGAAAAUUACUUCUUA